UAUGAGCCGCCUGGCCACCGCCUUCCACCCGUACCUCCACCCUCCGCUGUCUAACCGCGUUCUCCACCCCUCCAUCGCAAAUGCAAUAGCCUACGCAGGAUUUACUUCUUCCUGUGGGAUACGCCAGGAAUCCAACAAAACGGGUCAUCUUAGUGGUUAAAAAUGGACCGUGAUGUGCUCCGUACAUUGAUACGCUAAUGUCAUUUUACAGCCUUCAAAUAUGAAUCAUGUAUUUGGUAUUCCUUCUGAGUCUGGUCGUCAGCAUCCUCAUCGCCUUGCAAUGUCCAUUUGCCUCAACGUCAACGGUUUCCCCUGCCGCUGAAUAUGUGGACAUCGGGAACACGGCGUCAGACAAACCCGGGCGAGAGUCGACAGCUUCAGCACUGGACAGCGCCAACUCUACACGCGAGGGGCCUGCUCAGGGGGUCACGAUUACCUAUCCUGCGAGGCUUAUCUACUACUUAAACAAGGAGUCGGAGAGUACCAACCAUGACCUGGAUACCCGUGCGCGGAACCAGAUCGCACUGGACCAGGAUAUCCACCUGGCUCAGGCAAGCUUUCAGCUUGAGGCCUUUGGGUCCACCUUUAUUCUGGACCUUUCUUUAAAUAAUGAUUUGCUGUCCUCAGAUUAUGUAGAGAUCCACUUUGAGGAUGGGAAACCGGUGCUUUCUAAGGGAGGGGAGCACUGCUACUACCAUGGCCAAGUGCGAGGAAAGGAGUCGUCGCGUGUGGCCGUGUCCACCUGUAACGGACUGCAUGGUAUGUUUGAUGAUGGGGACUUUGUGUACCUCAUCGAGCCGCUGAAGCAGACGCACUUCUCGGACAUGGAGGCCAGACCACAUACUUUACGCAGAGCCACCUCGCUGCUCUCUCUGGGUGACGCAGUUGACCUGGGUCUGGGGAAACAGAGGGAGGACGAGGCUGAGGAGGAUGGGCCAGAGAAGGAGGUCUCAUCAGACAUGCCCUGGCUAAGACGCCGGAGGAAACGAGCCAUGCCACGUAAUGUGUUCGAGGAGAUGAAGUAUCUGGAGAUCAUGAUUGUCAGCGACCACAACACGUUCAAGAGACACAAAACCAAAAAGCAUACCAGGAAUUUCGCAAAGUCAGUGGUCAACUUUGUUGAUGCGGUCUUCAAGGAACAGCUGAAUACGCGCGUGGUGCUGGUCGGUAUGGAGGUUUGGACCGACCGAGACCGCAUCCCCCCAAGUGUUCGUCCACUGGAUAUGCUCAAGGACUUCUCCAAGUACCGGCAGAGCAGCAUCAACCUCAAUGCCGAUUCUGUGCACCUCUUCACGAAUAUGACUUUCCACUACGACCGGAGCAGUGUGGCUUACAUCGGCGGGGUGUGCUCGACGGACCGGGGAGUCGGGGUCAACGAGUACGGCACCACGUGGACCAUGGCAGCCUCUCUCUCCCAGAGCCUGGCACAGAACCUGGGCAUCCAGUGGGACCCCCCGACCAGGAGGAAGCAGUGUGGCUGUAUGGAUUCAUGGACUGGGUGCAUCAUGGAGGAUACAGGGGUGCAGCACCCUCGCAGAUUCUCCAAAUGCAGCAUAUCUGAUUAUAAGACCUUCCUGUUGAAGGGUGGGGCUUCAUGUCUGUUUAACAGACCAAAUAAGCUUUUUGAGGCCACAGAGUGUGGCAACGGGUACGUGGAGGUGGGGGAGGAGUGUGACUGCGGAACUGGAAUGGAGUGCUAUAGGGACUGCUGUAAGAAGUGUUCUCUCUCUAAUGGUGCCCACUGCAGCGAUGGUCCAUGCUGUAAUGUCACCUGCUUGUUUUAUCCACGAGGGCACAGCUGUCGCUACGCUGUGAACGACUGCGACAUUUCAGAAACCUGCUCAGGAGACUCGGGACAGUGCCCUCCAAAUCUUCAUAAGCAGGAUGGGUAUUCAUGUCAGCUUAACGAGGGGCGCUGCUACAAGGGGGAGUGCAAGAGUCGUGCGAAUCAGUGCAAGUACAUCUGGGGAUCGAAGGCCAGUGGUUCGGAGAAGUACUGCUAUGAGAAGCUGAACACCGAGGGAACAGAGAAGGGCAACUGUGGGCGUGAUGGAGACAAGUGGCUGCCCUGCAGCAAACAUGAUGUGUUCUGUGGGUACCUGCUGUGCUCCAAAAUUGGUAGGAGCCCACGCAUUGGAACCAUGAGAGGUGACAUCACCCCAACCACAUUCAACCACCAAGGGACACUGGUGGACUGCAGCGGUGCCCAUGUGAUGAUGGACGAUGACACUGACCUGGGGUACGUGGAUGACGGUACUCAGUGCGGCCCCUCCAUGAUGUGCCUUGAACGGAGGUGUUUGCCCAUCUCUUUCCUCAACAUCACCGCAUGCCCCUCGGGCCCCAACGGACGCAUCUGUUCUGCGCAUGGGGUGUGCAAUAAUGAGGCCACGUGCACAUGUGACUCCACAUGGGCAGGCACAGACUGCAGCAUGCACGACCCCCCGAAGGAACCACCGACCAUGCUGAACGAGGGACCCAAGGUGAGCGUGGCCACUAACAGACUGAUAGGGGCAGUGGCAGGGACCAUUCUGGCCCUGGGGGUGAUAUUUGGAGGCACAGGGUGGGGAAUAGAGUAAGCACUGCUUCUCCCUUUCACCACUCUCCCGGACUUCAAGGGAGAAUAUGUGGCCCUCGUUGUAUGACUGGUGUGAGUGUGUGUGUGUUCAUUGGGUCAUGUAAAUGUGUGUGUGUGUGUGUGUGUGUGUGUGGGUGUGUGUGUGUGUUCCUGUUCUCCCAGUGGUGGCUUUGUUGUUUUGUGGUGACCGUGGUGGUGCCCCGUGCUUGGACAUGUCAGUGUCAUGUGAUGGAAUCGUUCUUUUGAUUGAUGGGUGACCUCCUUUUGCCUCCCCCUUUUCCUUUAACUGUGACUGAAAUCCACUGUGUCUGGUGCUCCCCUAAGCCCGGCCAUGUGGGGCAUAUCUGAAUACUCAAACAUACACUCCCACGCACAAUCGACCUAAUCAUUCCAUCCUUCCAUCGGAAGAAUCGAGGAGAGAGACAGAUGAUGGAUGGUUCAGAGUCGGUUUUGGGUGGCGGUAGAGUAGCGAAGCAGAUGAAUAUGACAUCACUUCCUCCGUUGGCGCUGGACAUCACGGACCGCCACACUGUGUGGUCCACAGAGGUGUCAUGUUGUCACGUGAUCGUGAAACUCACAACAACAUGAGCACAUCUGUGUGUCUGAGUGGUGUGCCGCUCCUGUCAUGAUGCAAGCCCAUUAUCCCUUCCAUCCACAGCCAAAGAAACUUUACAAUCUGCAGUAGGUAGACUUAUUUUGGGACUAGUUAAGCAAUGAAUGAAAUUUGCAUGUCGUUUCCUCUUACCUCAGAAAUAAUGAUCAGCAAAGACCUGUUUGAUGGGCAGGUUUUUUCUUGUUUUGUGUGGCAGCUAACCAAUGGUGUUAGCAAGUGGUACGCUAACUGCUGUCCUGCAAAUUCAUUUGGACACCCAACAUGUCUCAGCUGAUCUUUUUCACUGUAUUCCACUGUUAGGGAAUGAAAAUGUUGUAAGAUGGAAACACCUGUAAAUUUGAUUGUUUUGCAAACCUGGUUCUCAAAAUGGGGCAUGUUAAUCGAGCUGUGAAAUAUUCAAACAUGUAACAUGUUUCCUUCCCUCUCACACACACACACACACACACACACACACACACACACACACACACACACACACACACUCAGUCAGUUCCACAUUUGAAUUCCUCAGACAUCACACCACACACACUCACACACUCACACACACACACACACACAGACACACACACACUCUACCCCCUUGAGCUGACCGCUGCUUUAUCUCCUUUGAUAUGUUGACCCCCAGCUUUUAAGGGAGUCCUCUGCGCUCAUGUGGUGUCUUCUCCCCCCUUCCUCCUCCUCCUCCUCCCCCUCCUAUAUUCCUCCCCCUUCCCUCCGCCACCUCCGCAGGUCCUAGUGCCACCAACCUUAUCAUAGGCUCCAUCGCAGGGGCCAUCCUGAUGGCAGCCAUUGUUCUGGGGGGGACGGGCUGGGGUUUUAAGUAAGAGAUGCAACCGCAUGCUUUCUUUCCUGCCUGCACGCCUGCACACAGGCGUUUCCUCUUUAUCUCUCUUUUUUAUUUUUGCCUCUCAAGACAAAAGGGCCUGAGCUUCUGCUACAGAUAACAGAUGCUCCCAUAGUGGCUUAGAAAUAUAACGACUAGAAAAGAGAUAACAUCUGCAAAACAUUGCCAACAAAAUAUAAAAACUUUGAAUAGCAUGGUAUAUCUGGAAUAAGGCUUUUAUUAAAGCAAAUCUUUUUGAAAAAACGAUGAAAAAGAGAUUACUUUGUUUACAUGCUAAGUUUGAAAGCUCCAACCUGAAUUACAAUGCAUCUAUAAAUAGAACCAGGUUAGUCUGAGUGAAAGUAUCACUUUGACUCUGAAACUUGACAGACUAACUCAGGAUGCAUCAUGGUAUGGCUUCACAACAUGGGCAAAUUUAGCAUUGCCCCAAUAUCUACCUCAGCCUUUAAGAUCUAAAUUUUGACAACCAUGCUUUCAUUAAUGCUAUUUACGUGAUAUACUCCAAUAUGGUGGUUAUGCCUCUGUACACUCUAGCAGAAUCUCUAGGAUACUGAUGGCCCAAAGCUUGACAUGCAUGCGUGCUAAGUAAAAAAAAGUUUAAGACAUUAAUAAUGAAGACAAAAAGAAUAAAUAUUAAAAUAUAAUGUGAUUAACCAAGUACAGUAUGCUGUAUGGCAUAUAUCAUUAAUAUAAUCCAUUUUGUGUUAUUUAUACAUUUUCAAUUAAGAAUAAUUAAGUUAAUUGUAUGCAAAUGAGGUUUAUCAUGUAAUUGUUGCAGAUGGAUUAGUUCUUAGAAGACAGAAGAGAAUAAUUGGUCACAGUGAAAGCAACACACUAGGGGAAGUCAAUCAAAGCAAAAUGGAAAAUUCAUGUAGUUCAUAAAGUGAUAUUACCAUUGAAUGCAGACAUUACUUCUGAUUUUGUUUGAGUCUAGGGACAGUGAAUUAGGGGGAAAGGUCCAUAUCAGUGUCGCCUCCAAAGCACUUACUGGCAUUUGUUUUUGAAGAAUAUACUCACUCUAGCAUGUUGGUUUGCAUAGCAUCUUGACCAAGGCCAUGGAGGGUUUUUGCAUGUUGACUGAACUGGUGGCAGCAUUGAGCUGCGAGGCAAGCACCACCAGUGCCUCGCACAAAGGCUGGGCAAACCCUUUGGAGAGAGUAAUUUUGGGGGAGAGCUGAAGUAGCUUACAGGGUAUGCAGGGUGGACUGGAAAAGGAGGGGAGGGAAGGGGAGGUGUGGAAAAGCUGACAAAUUUUUCUGACUGAUCUGACCCACUCUCCUUGCGGUGAUAUCUCUCUUUCUCUCUCUCCCCCCCUCUCUCGUGAUCUCGUGACUCCCCCUCUCCACCCCCUCUCCACCCCACCCACCCUUAUUUUCCUCCCCAUCCGCCUCCCCUUUCCUCCACUCUCAAUGCAAAGGGUGAAAGUAUAAGCUGAGCAGAGAGGGAGCAGACAGAGAAAGAGAGGAGGGGGGGGAGAGGCUGGUGGACACGUGCCCUGUCCUCUCCCGUCCCCUCCUCUCCCGUCGUUUGCUUUUUUUUUUUUUUUUUUUUUUGGUCGGUUGCAGCCUUUGUGCCAUGGCUAGCUGGCUGCCACUCUCACCCCUCUGUUCCUCCUGGGAGGCCUUUGGGGCCGGGUGGGGGUACCCCUGCCCCCAACCCACCUCGCGCUAGAGCAGAGCAAGACCCCUCCUCACCCCCCCACCCCGGACUCGCCCGACACACGGCUGCCUGUGCUGAAUGCUUCACAGAGACCUGAAACGUCAAGAAACGGCGUUACGACGCCAAUGCCAGCGCCAUCUAGAGGACUGGAUGAGGCUGUGCACUCUGGGGUCAGAUCCUGUGCUGGAUUCAGCCAAUCGAUCCGACCUUCGCUGGACUCCUCAUUUCCCUUUCCUGCCGCUAACUUAGCGGUAGCGUUUACUUGAAGACAACAAACAGAACAACGAUACUGAAUGAAACCACUACUGACUACUGAGCAUCUUCCAUUUGUAGUUUUUUGGAACUACAUUACCCACGCUCAACGCCCCAACCCUCCACCACCACCACCACCACCGUUCCCUUCCCUUCUCCCAAAUAGACUUUUAUUACCCCAAACUAUCCUUCCGUUCCUCUCUCCU